GAUGAACGCUAGCUACAGGCUUAACACAUGCAAGUCGAGGGGAAACGACAUCGAAAGCUUGCUUUUGAUGGGCGUCGACCGGCGCACGGGUGAGUAACGCGUAUCCAACCUGCCCAUCACUUGGGGAUAACCUUGCGAAAGUAAGACUAAUACCCAAUGAUAUCUCUAGAAGACAUCUGAAAGAGAUUAAAGAUUUAUCGGUGAUGGAUGGGGAUGCGUCUGAUUAGCUUGUUGGCGGGGUAACGGCCCACCAAGGCAACGAUCAGUAGGGGUUCUGAGAGGAAGGUCCCCCACAUUGGAACUGAGCCACGGUCCAAACUCCUACGGGAGGCAGCAGUGAGGAAUAUUGGUCAAUGGGCGAGAGCCUGAACCAGCCAAGUAGCGUGCAGGAAGACGGCCCUAUGGGUGGUAAACUGCUUUUAGAAGGGAAUAAAGUGAGAGUCGUGACUCUUUUUGUAUGUACCUGAUGAAUAAGGACCGGCUAAUUCCGUG
rnacentral:rRNA from 1 species